AUGAUAUACGGCUUGUUUCAGGUCAAGAAGACAGCAAGCGCAUAUGUGCGAUGGCAGCUCUGGACUGCUUACCAGCUGAAAACAGCUGUUUAUUGGAAACUAAGAAUCACUGUGAAUGCACUUCAAAGAAGAGGAAGCGAAGUAUAUUAAUUGUGAACUAAAUAUUCGCUUGCAUGUUUCAGUAUUAAAUUUAAAGUAUGCAGUAGAAAAAAUGUCGCAUUUGCUUGGAUCCCUUAAUCCUUAAUCCUUGACCUUUUUGAUGAACAAAAUCGACAUUUAAUACGGAAAAUUCAAUCAAUCACAGGAUUAUUACAGAAAUCCAAGGACAUCCACGGUACCUCAUGUGCCCCAUGGACUUGGGAUGCGCCAUAAAGUUUCGCCAACGCUGCAU